GGGCUUGUACCGGUUUCGACGGGGACAAUGCAGCUUUAGAAGCUAUCCGAAAGACAGUUGCGUUAAACUUCAAAUUAAAUUUAAACGCUAACGACAACAGUUACGCACUGGCAGCCUAAGGGCCGCCGGCCAGCCUCAGUCCACUCAUAGUCUGAGAAUCUGACCUCAUUUAUGUGAGAAACGACAUGGGCGCUUCCCCUCGCUCAUGGGCGUAUCCGGGGAUACCGGCCGCAGCAGGACGUGCGCAUCCUUCUGCGGCGGGGAAUCACAAAAGCGUACUAUGAUAGUAGAAGGAAAGGGAAUUUGUUUUCGGACACGGGUUCGACUCCCGUCAGGUCCAUCC
rfam:Oribacterium sp. oral taxon 078 str. F0262 genomic scaffold Scfld2, whole genome shotgun sequence.